GACGAACGCUGGCGGCGUGCCUAAUACAUGCAAGUCGAGCGGACCAACCAGGAGCUUGCUCUUGUUUGGUUAGCGGCGGACGGGUGAGUAACACGUGGGUAACCUGCCCGUAAGACCGGGAUAACUCCGGGAAACCGGAGCUAAUACCGGAUAACACCGAAGACCGCAUGGUCUUUGGUUGAAAGGCGGCUUCGGCUGCCACUUACGGAUGGGCCCGCGGCGCAUUAGCUAGUUGGGGAGGUAACGGCUCACCAAGGCGACGAUGCGUAGCCGGACGGGGAGGGUGACCGGCCACACUGGGACUGAGACACGGCCCAGACUCCUACGGGAGGCAGCAGUAGGGAAUCUUCCGCAAUGGACGAAAGUCUGACGGAGCGACGCCGCGUGAGCGAAGAAGGUCUUCGGAUCGUAAAGCUCUGUUGUUAGGGAAGAAGAAGCGCCGUUCGAACAGGGCGGCGCGGUGACGGUACCUAACGAGAAAGCCCCGGCUAACUACGUG
rnacentral:rRNA from 1 species